rnacentral:rRNA from 1 species
GACGAACGCUGGCGGCGUGCUUAACACAUGCAAGUCGAACGGAAAGGCCCUGCUUUUGUGGGGUGCUCGAGUGGCGAACGGGUGAGUAACACGUGAGUAACCUGCCCUUGACUUUGGGAUAACUUCAGGAAACUGGGGCUAAUACCGGAUAGGAGCUCCUGCUGCAUGGUGGGGGUUGGAAAGUUUCGGCGGUUGGGGAUGGACUCGCGGCUUAUCAGCUUGUUGGUGGGGUAGUGGCUUACCAAGGCUUUGACGGGUAGCCGGCCUGAGAGGGUGACCGGCCACAUUGGAACUGAGAUACGGCCCAGACUCCUACGGGGGGCAGCAGUGGGGAAUAUUGCACAAUGGGCGGAAGCCUGAUGCAGCAACGCCGCGUGCGGGAUGACGGCCUUCGGGUUGUAAACCGCUUUCGCCUGUGACGAAGCGUGAGUGACGGUAAUGGGUAAAGAAGCACCGGCUAACUACGU